CCAGACUCCUACGGGAGGCAGCAGUGAGGAAUAUUGGUCAAUGGUCGGGAGACUGAACCAGCCAAGCCGCGUGAGGGAGGAAGGUACAGAGUAUCGUAAACCUCUUUUGUCCGGGAACAAAGGCGGGGACGUGUCCCCGGAUGAGUGAACCUGAAGAAAAAGCAUCGGCUAACUCCGUGCCAGCAGCCGCGGUAAUACGGAGGAUGCGAGCGUUAUCCGGAUUUAUUGGGUUUAAAGGGUGCGCAGGCGGUCUGUUAAGUCAGCGGUCAAAUCGCGGGGCUCAACCCCGCCCAGCCGUCGGAACUGCCGGGCUAGAGUGGGCGAGAAGUGCGCGGAAUGCGUGGUGUAGCGGUGAAAUGCUUAGAUAUUGCGCAGAACUCCGAUUGCGAAGGCAGCAUACCGGCGGCGAUCUGACGCUGAGGCACGAAAGUGUGGGUAUCGAACAGGAUUAGAUACCCCCGUAC
rnacentral:rRNA from 1 species